CCUACGGGUGACAGCAGUCGAGAAUCAUUCACAAUGGGGGAAACCCUGAUGGUGCGACGCCGCGUGGGGGAAUGAAGGUCUUCGGAUUGUAAACCCCUGUCAUGUGGGAGCAAAUUAAAAAGAUAGUACCACAAGAGGAAGAGACGGCUAACUCUGUGCCAGCAGCCGCGGUAAUACAGAGGUCUCAAGCGUUGUUCGGAAUCACUGGGCGUAAGGCGUGCGUAGGCUGUUUCGUAAGUCGUGUGUGAAAGGCGCGGGCUCAACCCGCGGACGGCACAUGAUACUGCGGGACUAGAGUAAUGGAGGGGGAACCGGAAUUCUCGGUGUAGCAGUGAAAUGCGUAGAUAUCGAGAGGAACACUCGUGGCGAAGGCGGGUUCCUGGACAUUAACUGACGCUGAGGCACGAAGGCCAGGGGAGCGAAAGGGAUUAGAUACCCGGGUAGUC
rnacentral:rRNA from 1 species